rnacentral:lncRNA from 1 species
CUUCAUCAAAGGCUAUGAGUGUCUUGAAAAAGAGAAGCGUCUCUUUCCUCAGUUCUGCGGGUGUCCCAGGCUGAGUGCUCUACCAUGUGGCUCACUAAGUCACAUCCUCACACAAACCUUCAGAGAGAAGUCCGUUAUUCUUCUCAUUUUACCCAUCGGGAAGCUGAAACUCCAGAAACAGUAAGUCACUUGUCCAAGAACACCCGGACCGGAAGGGCAUGUUUCCAUGUCUGCAUCUCAAAAUGAGUAAGUUGCUAGACCACACAAAAUUGUGUUACCCCUAAAAUAAGACACUGGCACAGCAGCUGGUACACAGUAAGUGCUCAAGAAAUGAGUAGCAUGAAAGAGCCCGCCCGACAGGCAGCUGCUGAGAAAUUCACUUGGCUUCAGGCCGGUCAAACCUUCCAGCGUGGAUGAGAAUCCAGUGGUAGCAGGUUGUACAAUCUCAUUUCAUCUCAGACACCCAGAGUUUGGACCUUCAAGAUGCAGCGCACAAAUGGAUGUAAAUGAGAUGCAAAUCAAACUGUCCCCAGAUAAACAGGAAACCAAAUAUCUCUAGUGAUAGCUCUUUCCUCUCCUUAUGGAGAUCAAGGACAUGGGCUGCCUCUGAAGGCAAUCCAAAGCUCACAUCUGUCAGACUUCACCACUACCACCAGCUCUCCCAGACAGACAAUGCCAUUGCCAAGCACUGCCAUGGCAGUGCUUUCAGGGGCCCCAAUUCCAGGGCCUUCUUUCCCCUCAUCCUCCUUGAGGAGUGAGGGCCUCACAGGCUUUGAUCUUUGGAUCAAAAGAGGUGAAAUUUCUUCUUGCUCAGGACUUGGUGAGUGAGAUCAGCUCCAAGUAGUGCCCCUGUCAGAGGCAUCUGCAUGACAACAGCAAUUAUAACUGCAAUAAUGUGAUGUAACAAGAAAUAUAUACUUGGUCUCUGCCCCUGGUUCCAGGCACAGAGCUCUUAAAACCCUUGUAAUGUUCUGAGCAACAAGGGUUGUGAGGUGCAUCUUUUGUUCUAAUAAUGUUUGGUCUAUGACCCCAGUUCCUGACAGAGCUCCUAAUCCCUUGGAAUUUCCUGGGUGAUAGGGGCAUUUUUUUUUCUAAUUAGGUGACUCUUGUUGGGAUCCUGGGUAACUUCAGGAUGGGGGAUGGUCCCCAGAAAGACCUGGUCAUAAUUGAAGGCUUGAAACUUUCAGCUCCCUCCUCAUCCUCCAGGAAGGAGAGGGCCUGGGGAUUAAAUUAAUAAGUGACCAUACGUAUGUGAUGACGCCUGCAUAAAAAUCCCUGAACUACAGGGUUCGGAGAGUUUCUGGAUUGCUGAACACAAGGAGGUCCCUGGAGGGUGGUGCCCCUAGAGAGCAUGGAGGCUCCACGCCCCUUCUCUCUUACCUUGCUCUAGGCAUCUCUUCCAUCUGGCUGCUUUUCUGUAUCUUUUGUAACAUGCUUUGUAAUAAAUGUGUAAACACAAAUAAUUGCCCUGAGUUCUGUGAGCUGCUCUAGCAAAGUCAUUAAACCUGAAGAGAGAGUCAUAGGAACCCCCACUUUAUGGCUGGUUGGCCAGAAGCACAGGCCACAGCCUGGAGCUCACGAUUCAUAUCCGAAGUCGGGGGCAGUCUUGUGGAACUCAGCCCUUAACUUGUGGGAUAUGAUGCCAUCUCCAGGCAGAUAAUGUCAGAAAUGAAUUAGAGGACACCCAUCUAUUUUCCCCUGGAGAACUGGUUGUUAGUGAGGAGAAACCCACACACAUUUUGGUGAGCAGAAGUGAAGUGUUCUGUAGUGAGUGGUGUGUGAGUAGGAAAAGCAAUGGGGGUUUUCCUAUCUGUUAUGAUAACAAUCAUAGGCAUCGAUAGAGUCCUGCAUGGUAUGAUGAGAUGCAGGGACAAUAAGAGCUCUGCAUGGUACGCUGAGAUGCAUGGUACGCUGAGAUGCACGGUACGCUGAGAUGCAUGGUACGAUGAGAGCCCUACAUGGUAUGCUGAGAUGCAUGGUAUGCUGAGAUGCAUGGUACGCUGAGAUGCACGGUACGCUGAGAUGCACGGUAUGCUGAGAUGCAUGGUACGAUGAGAGCCCUACAUGGUAUGCUGAGAUGCAUGGUAUGAUGAGAUGCAAGGACGAUGAGAGAUCUGUAUGGUACGCUGAGAUGCACGGUAUGCCGAAAUGUGAGGUACGCUGAGAUGCAAGGUACGAUGAGAGCCCUGCAUGGUAUGCUGAGAUGCAUGGUAUGCUGAGAUGCAUGGUAUGCUGAGAUGCAUGGUACGCCGAGAUGCAUGGUACGAUGAGAGCCCUGCAUGGUAUGCUGAGAUGCAUGGUGUGCUGAGAUGCAGGGACGAUGAGAGCUCUGCAUGGUGCGCUGAGAUGCACGGUACGCUGAGAUGCAUGGUAUGAUGAGAUGCAUGGUAUGAAGAGAUGCAGGGACGAUGAGAGCCCUGUACGGUACAAUGAGAUGCCGGGAUGCAGGGCAUUAACAAAAUGCAAAUGCAAACGCAAAUUCCUGCAGGUGACGUGCACAAUGAAACCAGGAGUGUGGAAGGAAACCACCAGGGCAGCCCAAGGAUGGCAAGUAACAUUGGACCCUUGGUGCCUGGGAAGCAAUAGGAACUGGGAUGAACCAGAAGACCUGCCUUGUCUCCAGCUGGAGCCCCCACUUGGAUGGAGCCUGCUACUGCUAUGUAGGAACUGCAGGCCCAGAUCAUCUAAUACUUCAAAAGAAGCUAAUGAUCUUGACUUGUAACAUGACAUUCCUGAUUACUGGUUCAAUAUGUUGUAACACCACCAGUGAGCUUAACAAAAAUCUGAGGUUUCUGGCUCAUGGGCUUCCUGUUUAUAAGACCU